rnacentral:rRNA from 1 species
AACCAGCACCUCAAGUGGUCAGGAUGAUUAUUGGGCCUAAAGCAUCCGUAGCCGGCCUUGUAAGUUUUCGGUUAAAUCCAUUCGCUUAACGAAUGGGCUGCCGGGAAUACUGCAAGGCUAGGGAGUGGGAGAGGUAGACGGUACUCGGUAGGAAGGGGUAAAAUCCUUUGAUCUAUUGAUGACCACCUGUGGCGAAGGCGGUCUACCGGAACAUGUCCGACGGUGAGGGAUGAAAGCUGGGGGAGCAAACCGGAUUAGAUACCCGGGUAGUCCCAGCUGUAAACUAUGCAAACUCAGUGAUGCAUUGGCUUGAUGCCAAUGCAGUGCUGCAGGGAAGCCGUUAAGUUUGCCGCCUGGGAAGUACGUACGCAAGUAUGAAACUUAAAGGAAUUGGCGGGGGAGCACCACAAGGGGUGAAGCCUGCGGUUCAAUUGGAGUCAACGCCAGAAAUCUUACCCGGAGAGACAGCAGAAUGAAGGUCAAGCUGAAGACUUUACCAGACAAGCUGAGAGGUGGUGCAUGGCCGUCGCCAGCUCGUGCCGUGAGAUGUCCUGUUAAGUCAGGUAACGAGCGAGAUCCCUGCCUCUAGUUGCCACCACUGCUCUCAGGAGUAGUGGGGAGAAUUAGCGGGACCGCCGUAGUUAAUACGGAGGAAGGAAGGGGCCACGGCAGGUCAGUAUGCCCCGAAACUCUGGGGCCACACGCGGGCUGCAAUGGUAAUGACAAUGUGUUCCAAAUCCGAAAGGAGGAGGUAAUCCUCAAACGUUACCACAGUUAUGACUGAGGGCUGCAACUCGCCCUCACGAAUAUGGAAUCCCUAGUAACUGCGUGUCACUAUCGCGCGGUGAAUACGUCCCUGCUCCU